rnacentral:rRNA from 1 species
UUAAGUCAGAUGUGAAAGCCCGGGGCUCAACCUCGGAAUAGCAUUUGAAACUGGCAAACUAGAGUACUGUAGAGGGGGGUAGAAUUUCAGGUGUAGCGGUGAAAUGCGUAGAGAUCUGAAGGAAUACCGGUGGCGAAGGCGGCCCCCUGGACAGAUACUGACACUCAGAUGCGAAAGCGUGGGGAGCAAACAGGAUUAGAUACCCUGGUAGUCCACGCCGUAAACGAUGUCUACUUGGAGGUUGUGGCCUUGAGCCGUGGCUUUCGGAGCUAACGCGUUAAGUAGACCGCCUGGGGGAGUACGGCCGCAAGGUUAAAACUCAAAUGAAUUGACGGGGGCCCGCACAAGCGGGGAGCAUGUGGGUUUAAUCGAUGCAACGCGAAAGAACCUUACUACUCUUGACAUCCAGAGAAACUUUCAGAGAUGGGAUUGUGCCCUUCGGGACUCUGAGACAGGUGCUGCAUGGCUGUCGUCAGCUCGUGUUGUGAAAUGUUGGGUUAAGUCCCGCAACGAGCGCAACCCUUAUCCUUGUUUGCCAGCGAGUAAUGUCGGGAACUCCAGGGAGACUGCCGGUGAUAAACCGGAGGAAGGUGGGGACGACGUCAAGUCAUCAUGGCCCCUUACGAGUAGCGCUACACACGUGCUACAAUCGCGUACACAAAGAGAAGCGACCUCGCGAGAGCAAGCAGCCCUCAAAGUGCGUGGCGUUGUCCGGAUGGAGUCUGCAACUCGACUCCCAUGAAGUCGGAUCGCUAGUAAUCGUGGAUCAGAAAUGCUACGGUGAAUACGUUCGCGGCCUUGUACACACCGCCCGUCACACCAUGGGAGUGGGCUGCAAAAAGAAGUAGGUAGUUUAACCUUCGGGGGG